AGCAGCCAGUGCAUUUACUGACACCAAGGGUUUCUCAGUGCCCAUCAUCUGCUGCACGUGGCUUUUCUCUGCCCUUGGCUUAUCGAGAUGCAGUCAGACAUCCCUGGCUUUAUCUGGCUAUCCAUAGAAACAUCUGAGAGAUUUGACUUUUGCAUCAUUUGGGUGCAGUAAUGAAUAAGAACUGACAUCAAAUAUCAAUAUUAUUGGCCCAGCUAAAUGGUAGCUGACAUCCAACUGGACUGCUGAGGAGGGAAACUUGGUAACCACUGUAAUGACUCCUAAACCUGCAGAUAUGACACAAACACAGCAUG